rnacentral:misc_RNA from 1 species
AGCAGGAUCAAUAACGGAAAACAAAAUGUUUUGCUUUCUCACCAAAAAUUUUUGUUGGGAAGAGGGGAAUGAACAAACCCACUGGUUUGUUUGCCCCCCCUUACAAAAAGAGAAAGCAAAAUACCGUUAAACCUUAAAUUUCGGAGUGACGCCCAUGAAAUACCGGCCGACUGUGCGAAGCCGGGAGUCAGCCCCUUAAAUUGGUGGGUUUGUUUUUUUCAUUAAAAACAUAACCCCAACCACGUUGUUUUGGGGGAUAGGGGCAAAAACAAUAAAUAAACCCCCCCAAUCCAACAAACCAUUUUUUACACCGCGUAACGGUGGAUCUCUUGGUUCGUGCCUCGAUGAAAACCGCAUCCAAGCGCGAUAGUUAUGGUGAAUCGCAGAGAACCGCGAGCCAGAAAACUGUUGAAUGCACGCUGCGGCCCGGGGAACUUCCAUUCCCUGGGUCACACAUUUCCGAGUGUCGGUUUUUCAACUCCGACAUAAAGGUAACACCUGAGUGGUGUUUUGCCUACACCAUCUGGUGAAGCAAGCUGCGCACUUGUCCUCUUCUUUCUUUUCUUCGGAAAUUAAAAGAGAGGACAGCCGUUUGACAGAUUGCGGCAAGAGCCCCAAUUUCCCCUGUUCACGACGAUCUGCAUUUCCUUUACAAGUCAUGCUCCGUUGUUGUUCGGGUUGGGUGUUUUUCUCUGCCGGACUGCAAAUCCGCAAGACAAUCCUUCACCGGGUUUUCUUGUUUUUUAAGACCUCGGGAAUGUGAGAUCACGCCCGGAACUUAAGCAUAUCAUUAAGGGCAGGACAAGAAAGCAACCGCGAUUCCAUUAGUAACUGCGAGUGAACAUGGAAACACGCAAGUGAGCCCAUCCACAAGACCUUGCGGCGGAGGGAAACCAAAGCCGCAGUACUGCAAGGUUUGGAUGUUUCGGCGAUCCUGAGGUUUGCCCCAGCAAGUUGCCUGGAACGGCACGCCAUGGAGGGUGACAGCCCCCGUUCGGCUGGGCAGCCAAGGGAAACAAAGCUGAAGCGUUCCGAGAGUCGGACUGUUUGAGACUGCAGUCUGAACCGGGAGAUAUGCCUCUCCCAAGGCUAAACAUUGGCACGAGACCGAUAGCGAACAAGUAGAAUGAUCGAAAGAUGCAAAGCACUCUGCAAAGAGAGUGAAAAGUACGUGAAACCGUUACGUUGCAACGUAACGACACCCAUCCGUUUGAAAGCCCCCGGCUGCCUUCGGGCGGUCAAGCGACGGGGGAUUUUGGGGCAGCACCAAUCAGGACUGCCGCACGGCGGUGCGGAGCAUGCCAGGCUGCAAACUUGUUUGCGGCUUGGCCUCCGUGCUGGUCUCUGGACGGUCCUGAUUCGAAACCUUUUCUGGGGCAAUGCAUGGGCUUGCCACCGCGUUUGGGUGCGGCCGCAGCGCCGCUGGCUUUUUAACCAACUGCCAGUGACCUGAGGUUGUGCCACGACGUGUCGAGCGGCCUGUCGCAGCGCUUCAGUAACGUAUGCUGCUUUGAAUGGUGUCGUUACACCCGUCUUGAAACACGGACCAAGGAGUCUACUGCAUGCGCGAGCGUUAUGGUGAUAGAAACCAUCAACGCACAAUGAAAGUGAACGGUGGGCUUGUUCCUACCUUUGUGUGGCGAAGCCGCAAGGCUGCAGUCACGGCCGCGCCCAGGGAGCAGGGACGCGAGUCAAAGUGCAUCCAGUGGGACCCGAAAGAAGGUGAACUUUUCCCGAACAGGGCGAAGCCGGGAGAAAUUCCGGUGGAGGCUCGUAGCAGUGCUGACGUACAAAUCGCUUGCCAAAUUCGGGUAAAGGGGCGAAAGACUCAUCGAACUUUCUAGUAGCUGGUUCCCUC